CUCUAUUUGGAGUGAAAGGACUUCAGUUCAAUUCUCAUCUAUUAUCUACCUCUGGACCUGAAAUCAUUUUCAUUUUUAAGAGGAACAUGUUGACGUUUUUACUUUAUGACGUUCAUUCUAAAUGUCUGAAGACAGAGAAAGAGUUCAUGACUAAGUAUGAGAUACAGAGAGCAUCAGAGAAGAAAAAACGGACAACUAUGACUGCAUAAAAGUAAUAAAUUACUGCACCAAAAAGACACCUAAAAGUAAAAGAGAAAUGAAUUGUGCUAAUUUUGUCCACUGAGAGAAUCUUCAAUGGUUUCUAUGCUAUCAAAAUAUUCUGAUGAUCUAAGGCAACAAGAGCACUUGUAAUUAAAAAAAUGUAAAGAAACUUAGUGGCAUAAUAAUUAUAUUUGUAUAUGUUGUAUAUACACAAAAGCCAAGUGUUAGAAAAAUGAGGCACACUAGUAUUUCUUGUUCACUUUGAUGAAGAAAUAAUGUUUUUUUUUUCUUAAAUCCAUACUCUAAAGAAUAGAAUUCUGAUGUUAUAAGAAUUGAUAUUCUUUCCACAAUACUGAAUUUAAACUGCAAAGACCCAAGUUACGGACAUAGGUCUACUAUUGAGUAUGUAGGAAAUCAUAUGGAAGAUACUUACACUCUUGGUGACUCUAUUUCCACAUCUUUAAAAUGAGGAGAGUAGAUUAGAUGAAAUCUAAGGUUCCUUUCAGUUAUAAAUAUCAUAUCAAUCUAAAUUUUAUGAGAUGAUAUUUAUGUAAAGGUAUAUGUGACAGUGGUAUUGCUAUAUGCAUUUAAACCCAGAGAGUGCUAAUAGGUAAUGCUCAAACCUUAUUCUCAUUGGAAUCAAUUCUGAGAGGGAAGAGAAUCUAGAUCCAUUGGGAUAUCGAUUUCUACCUUACCUUAUAGGGAAGUUGAAAGUAGGAAAAUAAGGUGGUGGGGGGUGAGGUGGGGAGUAAAAAAGGGAGGGAA